GCGAAAUUAAGCUCGAGAUUCUCCGCAGACAUACAGUGGUGGCUUAGUUCCACCGUUUAAAAUCGGAUGGGAAGGUCUGAGAUGCCUUUUUUAUUUCUUAGAAGAUAUAGUUGUGAAACUAUUGUCACCUAACAGAAAUGCGUUGUUUUAAACAACUUGAAAUGGGUUGACUGGCAUGUGGGACAUGUUUUUGAAUGGAUGUGUUGCUAAUUAAGUCCAAUUUUCGAGACGUUAGUUACGUUUAACGAACUCAAUUCAGACUACUCUAAUUUCGC
rnacentral:RNase_P_RNA from 2 species